AUUGAACGCUGGCGGCAGGCCUAACACAUGCAAGUCGAGCGGAUGAAGGGAGCUUGCUCCUGGAUUCAGCGGCGGACGGGUGAGUAAUGCCUAGGAAUCUGCCUGGUAGUGGGGGAUAACGUCCGGAAACGGGCGCUAAUACCGCAUACGUCCUGAGGGAGAAAGUGGGGGAUCUUCGGACCUCACGCUAUCAGAUGAGCCUAGGUCGGAUUAGCUAGUUGGUGGGGUAAAGGCCUACCAAGGCGACGAUCCGUAACUGGUCUGAGAGGAUGAUCAGUCACACUGGAACUGAGACACGGUCCAGACUCCUACGGGAGGCAGCAGUGGGGAAGAGUGGACAAUGGGCGAAAGCCUGAUCCAGCCAUGCCGCGUGGGUGAAGAAGGUCUUCGGAUUGUAAAGCACUUUAAGUUGGGAGGAAGGGCAGUAGGUUAAUACCUGGCUGUUUGGACGUUACCAACAGAAUAAGCACCGGCGAACUUCGU
rnacentral:rRNA from 1 species